GUGCCAGGGAUCGUUCAGGGCCACGUGGAGUUGGUUACGGAGAGUGGAGUGGUGGCUAUUGUCGCGACUUGCCAGAGUAUAGUGGAGCCACACAGAAUCCACUGCAGGGAGUGGAGCAGGGUAGUGGCCUUCGUCGUGGCUUGCUAGAGAGUUCGAACUUGUCGGCUGGAGCUCGACUGGGACAUCUGAUGGAGUGAAAUAGCUUUCUAUUGUUGCUCUGGGAGAGGCUCGGAUGUCUUCAA
rnacentral:lncRNA from 1 species